rnacentral:rRNA from 1 species
AUGGAAGCCGCUGCCGCUGCCGCUGCGAGCCCCGAUAGCUCGUCGCUGGAAGCCGUGGCCACCGUCUUCCGGUCCCGCGUCAACGAGCUCCAGGACCUCGCCCUUGCCCGCAACAUGUACCCGGCAACGGCGGUGACCGACCUCACCGCCGUGGACACGUCGGUGACGGCCAUGGAGGCACAGGUGCAGGCCAUCCGCCGCCGCCUGCAGGAGGAGCUCGACGCCAUCCCGAAGGCCAAGAAACUAGUGGAGAAGUCCUUGAAGCAACAGCAGAAGUUGCAGCAUAUGCUUGCAAACAUGCCACCUGGGAUGCGUGAGGAUAUCGUUGCUACUCCUCUGGAACAAAGCUUGAUGUUGCCCGAGUGCUUUAAUUUUAACACAGCUGUUCCAGAAUUUCUGGACUCUGAUUUUAAGAUUAAGGAAGAGCCAGUUGCAGCUCCCAAAAAGGGGAAAGGUUCAGCACCUCGUUGGUAUAUAUCCACUGAGGAGCUUGAUUCAUUGUCAUCAGCCAAGACAUGGGAUAGUGUUGAUGAAUCUGCUCUGUCAAAUCUGCUUUGUUUGCAUAGCAUAAUCUUUCUGCUGCCUGUAGGCCUCACAUGUACCGAGGAAGGAAUUUGGUUUAUUAUUGUCAUCCAGUUACCAAGGUACAUGAGGGGGAGGCUAACAUUGGAGAAGGUUAACAUUUCGAUAAACGAGGUGGCUACAUAUGCAGAUGCUAAUGCUCAUCUUGUUGCAUGUCCUAAGAAAAAGUUAUCAGAAGACACAUGGGAAAAAGCUUUGGAACUAAGGGACAUAGCUGCCACUGAGGCAGUGAAGGGGAAGCAUUUCUUCCUGGAAGCUGAUAUAAAGGGGCCUGGGCUAAAACUUGAUCACACAGGCAAAGCUAUCCUUACCGUCCUUCGUCAUCUUGGUCGCAUCCAUGAAACCCGGAUUGGGCAUCAUCGGGUCUUCAUACUUUCAAAACAAUGCUGA